UCCUUCCUGUGUUAUAAAGCUUCAGCCUUUACCACAGACACCCUGGCAAACUGCCCCAGAUAGCCUUCUCACCACCUCGACUCGGUCAUAUUUACUAAUUCAGUCUGGAUAAACACAGCUGAUCAGAAGCAGCCUGUGUAUCUUGCUCAGUUCUUUCCCCUUUUCAGAGCCUCUGGCUGAUAGUAGCCAACUGUCUUAUUUGCCAGAGAUGUAACAGAGUUGUGUGUGAACAACGUGUGUCAUUGGGAGAGGAUGAUAUGAAUGGAAGCUUCCAAAACAAUGUCUUUGUGAAUUUUAAGGGCAAGAAGGAAACAUUAUGGACCUCUGUAAGUUACAAAUAGAAGAUGUGCUUCUAUGGACCCAGCUCUCUAAAGAAGACACCCAGGCACUUCCCACACCAGCAGCCACAUGAAAGGGGUUUCCUGGCAAAGAAUCCCCAGAACGGGCAACAACACCAGGUCCCAAAGGUUUUUCGGGUUGGGAUUGACAGCUAUAAAUACUCAACUAUCCCACAAACUGCACCGGAGCACAGACAGACUUCUGACUCCUGUCCUCUGAAGAUGCUGGCCACAGAGACUGGUGAAAUGUUAGGAAGAAAAACCUCAAGAACACAGCCAGACAGCCUGAAAAACCUACAACAGCCAUUGGAUCCCAGCCGUGAAAGCUUUCGAGAAUACAUUAAUCUGGACUGACAACAAGCUCUGAGAGAAUCUGAAAACAAAAAUAGGACUGUCUGUUUUUUUCCCUGAAAUCAUAUGGGAUGGAUUGAAGUGUCAGACGACUGGAGGAGGGUUAAUGUAGUCCCUAUCUUCAAAAAGGAAGAGUCUGGGAAUUACAGACCAGUCAGCCUAACAUCAGUCCCACAAAAAUUUUUGGAACAGAUUAUAAAGUGGUCACUCUGAAACCAUCUUUGAAAACAAUGUAGUAAUAACCAGAAGACAAAACAGAUUUGUCAAGAACAAAUCAUGCUAGACUAGUUUUACCUCAUUUUUUGAUCAGGUAAACUUCCUGCUGGAUGGUGGGAACACUGUGUAGACAUAAUAUAUUUUGAUGUCAGUAAAGAUUUUGACAAAGUGCCCCAUGAUACUUUGAUUAGUAAACUAACUAGGUGAGGCCUGGAUAGAAUAACUAUCAGGUGGAUAAGCCCGUUGUUACAGAAUCAUACUCAGAAAAUACUAAUCAAUGGCUGCUUCUCAAACUGAGAGGAGGUAGCAAGUGGGGGGACACAACAUCUUCAACAUUUUUAUUAAUGGCUUGAAUGAAAGGGUGCAGGAAAUACUUAUCAAAUUUGCAGAUGACAUAAAUUUGGGUGGAAUAGAAGAUAGAAACAAAAUUUUAAAAAUACCUUGAUAGGCUUGAGCACUGGACUAAAAACAACAGAAUGAAAUUUAAGAGGGCUAACUUCAAAGUACUACACCUGGGGGGGAAGCCCCAAACAAACACUUGCAAGAUAGGAGGUAUUAGCUCAGUAAUAUUACAAGUAAGAAGGAUCUUGGAAUUGUUGUAGAUCACAAGCUGAAAAUGAGCCAACAGUGUGAUGUGGCUGCAAAAAUAGGCCAGUGCUAUUUUAGGAAACCUAACUGAAGUAUAUUCUCCAAAUCCUGAGAGAUACUAGUCUCCCUCUAUUCAGCAUUCUUUUAGACUGGCUUCGAGCAAGAAGGAUGAGCUGGGGACUGGAAGUCGAGUCCUAGGUGGAAAGACUGAAAGAAUUGGGCAUGUUUAGCUUUGAGAAAAGAAAACUGAGGGGAGAUAUGAUAGCACUUUUCAAAUAUUUGAAAGGCUGUCAUACAGAGGAGGGGCACAAUCCAUUCUCAAUCAUCCCAGAGUGAUCAUCCCAAAGCCAACAGUGUGAUGUAGUUGCAGAAAAGGCAAAUGCUACUGUAGUCUUCCUUAACAUAAGUAUUGUCUCCAAAUCCUGUGGAGUACUAGAGUUCCCCUUUAUGUGUCACUGGCCAAUGAUCACCUAAUCACUAGUUUUCCUCUGAAGCCUUCCCCAGCUGGCUCCCUGAUAUUUAGCAUCUUGUAUCUAAGAUAUAGAUUUGAAGCUCUGACCAUUAUAAAAUAAAUAGUGCAUGCACAGACA
ensembl:lncRNA